rnacentral:rRNA from 1 species
AUUGAACGCUGGCGGCAGGCUUAACACAUGCAAGUCGAGUGGAGCGAGGGUGCUUGCACCUUAGCUUAGCGGCGGACGGGUGAGUAAUGCUUAGGAAUCUGCCUAUUAGUGGGGGACAACAUUCCGAAAGGAAUGCUAAUACCGCAUACGCCCUACGUGGGAAAGCAGGGGAUCUUCGGACCUUGCGCUAAUAGAUGAGCCUAAGCCGGAUUAGCUAGUUGGUGGGGUAAAGGCCUACCAAGGCGACGAUCUGUAGCGGGUCUGAGAGGAUGAUCCGCCACACUGGGACUGAGACACGGCCCAGACUCCUACGGGAGGCAGCAGUGGGGAAUAUUGGACAAUGGGCGGAAGCCUGAUCCAGCCAUGCCGCGUGUGUGAAGAAGGCCUUUUGGUUGUAAAGCACUUUAAGCGAGGAGGAGGCUCUUAAGGUUAAUACCCUUGAUGAGUGGACGUUACUCGCAGAAUAAGCACCGGCUAACUCUGUGCCAGCCGCCGCCGUAACAC